rnacentral:lncRNA from 1 species
UUUUUUUUUUUUUAAAUUCUAAGGGUUAGAAGGCAGCCCUCACGUCGUUACUAUUAAUGAAACCGCAUAAUACAAGAGAAGACAAAAAACUAAACCCCAUAUCGUAAGAACAACUAAAAACAGUAUCAGGAGACCCUACACAACCUAUGCAUUCAAGCUGACCUGAUCGAGGUGAUCUUCUUCGAUCUACUCCAAGCUGACUUGAUCUCAUCUCCAUCAGCCCGCCUCAGGACCUGCGGCCGCCUACCACACCGCCGACCAGACCUGUAAGAAAGAAACGAAAAACGGCCACCCCCCAUAAUCCCCAUCUCCUUCACCGCUCUCAAAUCCACCUCCGCCUCCCCAACCAAAUCCAUUUGGGAGACCGGAAUCACCACAACGUACACAAGGCCGGCAAUGGCCCAUCCAACAACGACGGGAGCUCGCCGUCGGACGAGGAACUCAUGCUCUCUCUUUCUCUCUUUGCCUCAAUCUUUCACUACUUUUUUUUGUCUCUACAUUAACGUACAUGUAACAGCGAUGUUCAUUUACUACAUUUAGAACAUUUAAUUUACGAGGAACCAGUUAGACACUAAAGACUUAAAAUUCCUCUCUAUAGUAUUUUCGUGAGGAAAAUAUUUUGGUCUCCAGUUCCUCGUGAUAGGAUGGUAGUCAAGAAAAGUUACCGUGAGAACAAUAAUAUUUCCUCGCCAAAUCGUUUUUGCAAUGAAUAUAUUUUGCUCUCGGUGUCAUUCUUUAGCCACAAUUUAUUUUCCUCGCCUGAUCUCAUACUUUUUACUCUAUGAACUUUUGGAGGCUGGAAAACUGUCCUUAAUAAUAGGUAAAUCAUUUAGAAAGUAUAAUUAAUACAAUAUUCGAAAAACCAUUUUCAGUGUGUGAUUGAAUAUUUUAUUUCAAUAUGGUUAAAUGAUCAAAAUUUUAGUGCGAGCGACUUUGUCACAACAUAUUUUAAUUCAAAGUUAUAAUGUUUUAUAAUUUAAAAAAUAUAUAUGAAAAAAACCCUUCUUGUCUCUCAAUUGCAUAUACGUGAAUUUAUAUUGUUGUGAUACCCGAUUUGUAUCUCACACCUAGAAUCCUCACAAUGCGCUACCGAUUUGCAUAAAGCAUAUAUGUUUUAAAGUAGGGUGAGUUCUAGAAUGUAUGCAAUUUAUCGUCUAAUUUGACUGUCGGGAGUACGUGUCAAGUUGUGAUUGGCGUGUGCAAAUUAACUCUCCGGCAGGCUUAGUCGUCUUGUUAGCGCGUGAGCUACGUGACCUCUAAUAAUAUUUUCAUCCGCAAUCAAACUGAAUCGAGGUGGGUGACUUGAUUGCUGAGGCCAUUUUCUUGUUUCUGGUCUAAAAUUUGCCAAAAACUUAAAUAUUAUGCAGCUGGAGAUUGAGUCUAAUUUUGCCAUUCUCAUGAAUCUUCUCCAACAUGGAAAAUACUAAAUUCAGUCAUAUCUUCAGGGAAUGUAACAUGAUUGCUGAUUCCCUCGCCAAGAUGAGCAUCAAUCAUUCUCUUGGUCUCAUUAUUCUGGAAGAGCCUCCUAUCCAUGAUAUGUCUGCUUUCCUAGAUGACUUGAAUGGUGUUGUUAGAGCUAGAAGAGCUGGGAAUCCAGUUGCUUCUUAGUUUUUUUUUCUUGCUGUUUUUUUCUAGACCUUAGUGCCCCUUCUGUAGCCCCAACAAAAAAAACAAAAAAAAGGAACAUUGUUCUAUGAUAUUCUGUAUCUUUCUAGAUAUUCUUUAUGUGUGUUUUGGCCUUAUGCCAAUAAGAUAUAUAGUUAGACUAGAUCUAUGUAUUCAUAUCCUUACCAUAUUGGUAUUGUGUAAUUCCCUAUAUAAAAGGUUCAUAUCAAUGAAUAAACUGAUGAUUCUCUUGCUAUCUCUUUGUCUAUACACUUUAUACGUCAUCACGUUAUCACGCACUUUAUUCUAACCCUAGAGCCAAUAGCUCACCAUUUGUUUUCCAAAACCCUAAAAUCGGGCAGCCUUGUUUUUCCCGAUUUCUGACCAAAAUUCCGACUGCCCUCCGCCGGAAUUUUAUAUCCCUAGUAAGCUCUCUCCGUCCCGGAUCCAACGCCGCCGGCCUCACCCUGAGAACCGGCCGGAAAGUCUCCUAACUGGCUGUCUGAAGAUUCCCGACCGCCGCCGCUACCGACCACCGGUUCACCACCUUCCCUUACUCUGAUCAACCUGAAUUUUUGAUAGAAGCGUCCCCAUCCAGAGCUUCUCCUCCUGUCAAAUUUUCAGCCCCAAAUUCGAAGUAAAAGUAGGCGAAACGUUGUUUCUCCUCUUGGCAGCCUCUAGAAACCAAAGAUUUUAAGAUUGCUCGUCUUCCAAGGAAAGCCAGAAAGGUUCCCAACCCUCGGUCGAAGCCUGCAAUCGACUCAAAUUCAUCAGAGCUCCUAUAAACGCAGUUUAUUUGGCAAACUAGCAAGUAAGCUUUAAUAUUACAGUUAUUUACUUUGGAAUAACUCGGGGGGAUAAAAUCUUUUCUCCCUUCUCCAUCUCCAUUCUAUGCUUGGGAUUUUGUAUGUGCAGGUACCAAAAAUUCUGGAAUUUUAUUCGCGGGUCAAGAGUGUGUUUCAUCACUCUUGUUUCCUUGUCCGGGUUGUGUAUGAUCAACCUCGACCUAUCACCGAAUUGUGUUUGAUCAAUUCGCGGCUUUUCCGGAUUGUGUAUGAUCAAUCCGAAGGACAAACCAUUAAAAGCAUUGUUUGUGACCUCUAUCGAGUCUCAUAACAGCUUGGUUUUGUAUGCAAGAGCAAUGUAACAUUCUGCUCCUUUGAGUUUUGACGUAUUAGAUGCCUAAGGCGGAUUUUCGCUUAGUAUCUAUGGAACCUUUCAUUAGAAAAGAUUAAACCACAUGUUUUGACCCCAGGCUAACAAGCCUAGAUGCCGAGAUUUCACAUCUCAUGCGCUCAAAGUUUUUGAAGCGCCACAUCGACAAAAGCCUUCAAUGGUAAUCUGUGCAAAAAGUAAUGACCAUAAAGUACUAUGGAAUGCACUCAUGGAGUGUUUCUCGAAACGUUCAUAUAACUCUACUUGUUGAGUUAUUGUUGAGUUAUUAGUCAAGUAGAUUGCUUACCACCUUAAUUGACUACAUAUUGUCGAUGAUCUUUUGUGGCAUCAUGGUCCAUAAUCUUUAGCAGAUUCGAUCAUCAUCAAGUUCUCUAGGUCCUCCAAGUUGGUUUGGAAUUACCAACGAGACUUGAUUUUGAUCAUACAAACAGGAAUUGUAUAUACGCUAAUGUGAUAAACUUAUUUGGGAAUAUCCCCUAAUGUGGGGACAACAAUAUGGGUCAUGGCAACGGCAGAAAACUUCGUGCCAAUGUCUAGAAAAGAGGGGGAGGUGUCGCUGGCUCUACACCAUUUUGUCAAAAUUACUCACGUCAGCUCAUGACAAUGCAACCGUUGUGGAUCUUCGGAUCACUAGUUCAAGAUUGUCCAGCUCCUUCAAAUUGUGAAUGCAUACAAAAAGGUACGGAAAAUCAAUAUGAGGACAAGAACGUCAUCCUCAUGAUCACGAAUUUCAAAGAUUCGGAUCCUAUUCUAGCUACCCAUGACUUUGACGUCAUCGGCUAGACAUUGAUUUUCGUUCCAAGCUAUAUGUACUAAAGCGUUGUAUCGACGUCCUUCGUUUAUUUGAGACCUCGAUGUACUCACAUUAGCAAUAAUGAAUGCCUUGAGAAUUUUUUUCAAAGUUAUGAAACUAUUCUCCUCUUAUGGUUCGUAUUGAUUUACAAACAAAAUGUACAUUUUUACAUCGUCCUUAGAAGCAUGGCAUAUUUACAAUCUACAUGGUUAGAUUGUGCCGUUUUAGUCUCUUCCAAGUGAAGAUGACGCACAGCCUUGCAUCCUCAAGAAGGAUCGCUAACGUGUUUCCGGUUAAGUCUUCUACCCUUUAGCGGAUUUUCCAUCAUCAAUUGUUCAACUAGGCUCAUCCAAGCUCAGUGUGAUGUCUUAGAAUUGUCCCAAAUUAAGGAGAUAGUGGUUUCAAGUGUGCCUCGCACUACCGACCCUCCACGGAUAUGUCUGGUCAUACUGACUUGGAGUUACCGAAAGCUUUUGAUUUUGGAUCCCCCUACGUUAUUAAACCAAUUGCCGUCUUGCAAAAGAUGUUGAAGACUUAUCAAAACCGGAAAAUUAUCAUCAUGAUCGAAUCCUCUAAGUCCUCUGAGUUAGUUUAUGUUCGUGUCAAGGAGCUUUUGCUAACUAGUCAUGGAGUUUACGACCUUAGAACGACCGAAAGGACUUGGUUUUGAUCAUACGCACGUCACUUUUGGCUAAGGCAAAAGCCUACACGCCACCUGCAAGCUUCACAGCUUCGCACAUGCCAAUUCUGCGAAAAACAGCAAUCUGUCCCUUCUGGAGAGUCAACUUCGUUUGAGCUUUGUGAACAGUUCCAGACGAACCAGACAGUGAGUUUUAUAUCAUUGGAAAGUUCUAUGAGUCUAGUUUUCAGAAAUUUUUGCGGUUCAUCCAUAUCUGUUUUAACGAAGAAGUUAUGGCUGUUUUAGUGUGCAAAGGUCAUUCUGCGCGGAAAUUUUUAUGCAUUCUCGGGAUUGCAGUUUUUCGUAGCUUCUUUCAAUCCUUCUAAAUGGUUCAAGUGGAACUAUUAAUUUGCCUAUCUACUCUUUCUUGUAGAUAUGUGUCAUCGAGACAUUGAGUGCUUCGCAGGUAGUAGAACUAUCCACAACAUUCUAAGGAACCGGCAACUAUCUUUGAAUUUUGUGCCUUUGUAAAUCUUCUAUGACUACAAUGAUUGAAUCAUACCGGUCAUUCAGGGACAUGAUUUAGCUUGAAUCUUGAUGCCUCAUGGCACCAUGAUCAAUGUCACAGAUACCCUCUAUGCAUUGAGAGGCAAUCGAACCAUAUUGAGCUUUAAAGACAUUCUUGUUAAUAGUUUUCAUUUGAAAACACAUUGUGAGAAUGAACAAGAAUUCUUUCGUGUAUACCUUCUCAUGAAUGCGAACUGAAGCGCAUCUUGGAGAAAUUCAUGAGUCAAUCUAGUGGAUUGUAUGUCACUACGAUUUGAAUAUCGAAUUCCAUGUUGUCGCCAAACAUGAUAUUUGGGACACCGACUCAUAUAGGCUUUGGUUUGACCAAAUUGGUAAACCUGGAAGAGAUAUAAUGGCCCAAAUUUUGAGAAAUUCUCAUGGACAUCCAUUCUUCAGCUCAAAAUGAAGACAUUCGAGAUCUAGCAUCACCAUGAAGCAUGGUGGUGACCCGGGGGACAUUGACGUCACCCGAACACGACUCCAACUUCCUAGAGGUCGUCCGGUCAAUUCCUCAAGCAAUUGAGGUGCACCGGCCUUCCCUCGAUGUCGCAUUAGCCCCCCUGCAAUACUCAUUGCUCGUUUUGAAAGCCUAUUCUUUAGCAAAAUUAGGAGUGAGACCCUCCUACGCUAAAUAACACAAAAGUGAACAUUCUAUUCUUACAUCAAACUAUGUAGAUAGAUACAACCAACUUGCACACACAUUUUUAUGCUUUAUGGUGUUGGUUGAAAUGUUAACACACUGGUCACGUGUUACACUAUUAUCUACUGCUUAUGUUGCUUAUACUUCUACGGGCUCACUACCCAUUCUUUAAAGAAGUUUAUCGGGAUAUAAGUUGAAGUGUCUUGUACCCAAUGUUCAUACGCAAUACUGUCUCACGGAGGCUACGACCAAGCAACUUUAGCUUGUCGCUCGAACAUUAUUGAUGCGCACCAAUCUUUCUAAUGCAUCUUGGGGCUAUGCAAUAUUUGCAUGCAGCUUUACUAUUGAUCUACGACCCACUAUCAUUAAAUAUUUUUGUACUACAACUCGUGACUGCGUACCAGGAUUGCAAUACUUGAGCUCAAACAAGAUUGAAACGGAUCUCCAAUCCUUGAGCUUUGCUAGAUGUUAUUUCUAGGUGCCAAAUCAUACUGCCACCGCGCACAAUGAUGGGUCAUUUGAGAUGAAUAAGUAUCUAGGUUGGAUAUGAACUUCCACCUAUAAUCUGCAUAUGUAGAAACCUUGUCAGGCGAUCUCAUUUUUUGUCACUUUGAUGAGACACUAUUCCCGCCAUUAUGGGGAGAUAAAAACACAAAUGUUCAAGUGGAACAACGUGAAUUAUCGUGGUUUGUCCCACUAAGUCUCAUCUUGAUCCCAAAUGCUUAAAGUGUUAAAGUGACAAGAUCACAUGCUGCAAAUAUGUCUGCAAUGAUUGAUGUUCUAUCAAAAGGACAUAGCGCGACCAAAAGGUGUUGGUCUUGACGCCAUCACCAUGGAUGGUGAUAUGGUGACGCCAUAUAGUGGCAAAAGUGGUGUCACAAGGUCGUGUGGCUCCCCAAAAGGAGGGAGGCCCUUAGGUUCGAUAUUUUCUCGCACUAGGAAGAAAGCGAGCUUGGCACAACCUGAUCCAUUGAUCAGUGAUACUCAAAUCCGUCUCAUGAAGUCUGAAUUGUGAUUAUCGUUUGGGGACGCCUCAAUGUCAAAUCCAAUCCAUAUAGAGAUCUCUACAAGUAUUACAGUAGUGUACAUGAUGACGUGGGAUAAUGAGUCUACUAUCGAAUCACCCUUCGUUGAUGGAUAUCAACUUAGUUGAUUGGCCUAAUGGAAAGAUGUGAUCCAGCAUUAACAAAGAGAUAGGUCCUUGGGCAGGUGAUGCCGACACUGCAAGCUAAACCCUAUCAACUAUAUCUUUGUUAGAUAGCGUAGUGAGAACAAGAUGGCACAAAGCCUCUCACUAACACACACUGGGAUCGACUACGAUGAGAUAUGCUCUCAUAAUGGAUGUCAUUGCACUCCACUACUUUGUCAGUUUGGUAGUUUCUGAAUAACUGAACAUGCAGCCUAUGAAUAUGGUCAUAAUAACAUCUCUAUGGGAUCAUAGAUAUACAUGAAGGUCUUAAACGGACGUCAUUCAUCUGAAUCAAGUGACUCCAGACCACAGGAGCACGCAUUUGCUAAAUGUAUUGAAACAAAUGUAUUGAAACGCAAAUGGACUCUACUUGAUUUGGAAGGGAUAUGGUGAAUUAUGUCUUUGCAUGUUCAUUCCGGAUUUAUAUGGAUUCUUGAUGGAUCAAGAGAUGCCAAUAUGUAUCAACAUCCGAAGAAAAAGAUAUUGGGAAGACACGGUCUCGAUAAAGCACUCGAUGACUGUAUUGAUGAUGAUUUUCCAUCAAUUGGCUUAGACGCUCUAACGAAAGUGAGGCCUACAUAUACUCCCAUGAUUAGUCAAGGUCUUUGCUCUAAAGAGAGAUCCGUUGUUUUGUCUAAAGCAAGAUGACAAAUAUGUGUUAAGAGAUGGAGUUCCCAUCUAAGUACAAUAAGACGCAUCAAUGUACUCAACACAAUACGAAAGACUUAACAUCGCAUUCGCUAUGAAAAGUUGUAAAGCUAAGUGUAGCUAUGCGCCCACACAAUGCCAAUGUAAUGGAAUUAAUUCCUUUUUCAAUACUUAAUGGUAUGAAAGGUUGAGGCUUAUUCUAUCCUUACAUAAGAAAGACACAUCAAUAGAGAAAUCAGAAUCUGCCAAGUUUCGUAGGUCAAGCUCCACGGGACCUACAGGAAACUGACGUGCCCGUUUACCGGGCAUGCGACAAUUAAGAACCCUUUUUGACAAUCGUAGUAUAAAGCAAAUAAGGUUCGAUCAAUCCGGGGACUAAAGGUGCUCUUGUAAUAAUGGUCAUGUAAAAGUUAGUAGCUAACAUAAAGAUAUAUACAAGUAUUUAUUUACAAAUAUACAUAUAAUACAAGGUAAAAAUGGGGGGGGGGGUGUGGGGUUUGAAAGUUUGAUUCUAAAUUCCUACUAAAAGAUAAAGACAAAAUCUAAACUAAUAUAUACAAGUGAUCGAUUCAUUCAACACAUCAACAAAGAGAGAAACUCAAAUUUUAACCACAAAAUUAAAGAGACGUUUCAAUCCUAAACAACUUGAAUUAUACAACUCAACUACUAGCAACAACCUCGAGUACAUACUGAUCCAGCUAUGCACCCAUAGAUUCUACUUAGCUUAUCAUCUUUAAUCCGUACACCACGCAAUCAAAGAUUAUUUCAUGCAUAGGCUGCUAUCAAUGCUACAAGCAUCUGUCUACUCUAAACAUGAAUCAUUAAGUUCUAAAGAAUCAAGAUUGAACUUAACUCGGUGAUGAAAUCCCACUUAUUGCUAUGCAACCUAUGUUCUCAACUACUCACCAUAGUUUCCACCACUAUAGAUUAAUGCUUACCACACCGGCAUAGCACUAAAUCAUGGCAUACCGUUAACAUGCAUUUUAACGUCUAUUCAAACACAAACAUAGCUUUACUAAUACAAGAGUUAACAUAACCAGAUUGCAAAGAAUAUCAUAAACGAAACUUUAACAUGCUUUACUAAAAUAUGAAUCCACUAAUAUCAAACAACCAAAACAAACAUCCAAUUCCAUUGAUGAAAACCGAAUCUAUGUUCUCAAAAUUGAAAAGAAAACUAAACAACUGUAGAGGCAUAGUCUACACUUUUUUCAAUCUUCAAGAAGCUUGAUGAUGAAAAAGAGGUGCUACGGUUUCAAGGCUCCUACUCUCCAAGGCUGCCGCGCUUGAUACAACGUCAAGGCUAGGGCAAAAGGAAGGGAACUCGCAACGGAAAGGAAGCUGCUUGGCUGCUCUCUAUUUCUCUAAGGUGUUUGCGUGUGAAUGAAUGAUCAUUAUUUAUGAAGCCAAACAGCCUUUAUAUAGUGUCCAUGAAUUGCUCUGGGCCCUUGAUUCAAUCUUGAUCCAACGGUCCUCCUUGAUUGCACAAAAUCUGAUAACUCUAUUGAUAUUUUCCUUAUCUUCAAAGAUAUUUAUCUUAUCUCUAAAGAUAUUUCUAGACAUGUGCAAUAAUGCUUUGAAUGUAGCUUGAAUCAUGUCCAGAUACAUUGCCUCCAAGAGUCUUCAAAGCAAGGAUUACUUGUUCAAGUUGAACUUCUCUUCUAGCUCCACAAGUUUGACUUUUCUCCUCUUUUUUUAGAGUUGGAAUCCAAAUUUACUUCUUCUUCCCUCCUUGGACUUAGGCUUUCUAUAUUUUUCUCUUAAAUUCACGAUUUAACCGUCUUUUCUCGAUUUAUGCUCUUAUUGCCUCUACAAAUACAAAACAUGUCAUAACUAACAUUAUUAAGGAAAUAACAUAAUUAAAUAGGAUAGGAAAUACGUUAUAAACAUAGCACUUUGUGCUUCUAUC